GAGUUUGAUCGUGGCUCAGAACGAACGCUGGCGGCGUGCCUAACACAUGCAAGUCGAACGUGAAAGUCCUUCGGGAUGAGUAAAGUAGGCGCACGGGUGAGUAACACGUAGGUAACCUGCCUCAAAGACUGGGAUAACUUUCCGAAAGGAAUGCUAAUACCAGAUAAGACCACGAUUUUAAAUUUAUUGGGGUCAAAGGGCGCUUUCGGGUGUCGCUUUGAGAUGGGCCUGCGGUACAUUAGCUAGAUGGUGGGGUAACGGCCUACCAUGGCAACGAUGUAUAGCUGGUCUGAGAGGACGAUCAGCCACACUGGAACUGAGACACGGUCCAGACUCUACGGGAGGCAGCAGUGGGGAAUAUUGGACAAUGGGGGAAACCCUGAUCCAGCAACG
rnacentral:rRNA from 1 species